rnacentral:rRNA from 1 species
CUGCUGCCUCCCGUAGGAGUCUGGUCCGUGUCUCAGUACCAGUGUGGGGGACCUUCCUCUCAGAACCCCUACGCAUCGUCGCCUCGGUGGGCCGUUACCCCGCCGACUAGCUAAUGCGACGCAUGGCCAUCCUGUGCCGGAGUCGCCUCCUUUGACCCCAAGAAGAUGUCUCCAAAUGGUGUUAUGCGGUAUUAGACGGAAUUUCUUCCGCUUAUCCCCCUGCAUAGGGCAGGUUCCAUACGUGUUACUCACCCGUGCG